CCAGCGGCGGACGGGUGAGUAAUGCCUAGGAAAUUGCCCUGAUGUGGGGGAUAACCAUUGGAAACGAUGGCUAAUACCGCAUGAUGCCUACGGGCCAAAGAGGGGGACCUUCGGGCCUCUCGCGUCAGGAUAUGCCUAGGUGGGAUUAGCUAGUUGGUGAGGUAAGGGCUCACCAAGGCGACGAUCCCUAGCUGGUCUGAGAGGAUGAUCAGCCACACUGGAACUGAGACACGGUCCAGACUCCUACGGGAGGCAGCAGUGGGGAAUAUUGCACAAUGGGCGCAAGCCUGAUGCAGCCAUGCCGCGUGUGUGAAGAAGGCCUUCGGGUUGUAAAGCACUUUCAGUCGUGAGGAAGGUAGUGUAGUUAAUAGCUGCAUUAUUUGACGUUAGCGACAGAAGAAGCACCGGCUAACUCCGUGCCAGCAGCCGCGGUAAUACGGAGGGUGCGAGCGUUAAUCGGAAUUACUGGGCGUAAAGCGCAUGCAGGUGGUUUGUUAAGUCAAAUGUGAAAGCCCGGGGCUCAAUCUCGAGAAUUGCAUUUGAAACUGGCAGACUAGAGUACUGUAGAGGGGGGUAGAAUUUCACGUGUAGCGGUGAAUUGCGUAGAGGUCUACCAGAAUACUCGGUGGCUAAUGUGCGCCCCCCGGACUGAUACUGACACUCAGAAUGCUAAAGCGUGGGGGGGCGACACAGGAUUAGAUACCCUGGCAGUACACUCCGUCAACUAUGUCUACUUGCAGGUUUUGGCCCCCCCCCCUGGGUUUCUUAUCUACGCGUUUAAUAGACCGCCUGAGGGAGAUGGCCGCGCGGUUAUAACUAACUUAAUUAACAGCGGCCUGCACUUUCGGUCGAGCAUUUCUUUUAUUCAUGCCACCCCCCUUAUCUUACCUCCGCUGGCCUGAAAAAAACUGUCCUUAGUUCGAUUGGUGCCUUCGAGAAA
rnacentral:rRNA from 1 species